rnacentral:rRNA from 1 species
UGGGGAAUAUUGCACAAUGGGCGCAAGCCUGAUGCAGCGACGCCGCGUGGGGGAUGAAGGCCUUCGGGUUGUAAACCCCUUUCAGCAGGGAAGAAGCGAAAGUGACGGUACCUACAGAAGAAGCUCCGGCUAACUACGUGCCAGCAGCCGCGGUAAUACGUAGGGAGCAAGCGUUAUCCGGAUUCAUUGGGCGUAAAGCGCGCGUAGGCGGCUUAUUAAGUCAGGUGUCAAAUCUGAGGGCUCAACCCCCAGCCGCACCUGAAACUGGUAGGCUCGAGUUCGGUAGAGGAAAGUGGAAUUCCCAGUGUAGCGGUGGAAUGCGCAGAUAUUGGGAAGAACACCGGUGGCGAAGGCGGCUUUCUGGGCCGUAACUGACGCUGAGGCGCGAAAGCUAGGGGAGCAAACAGG